GAGCUGUGAAGAAACUGUGUUCGAAGUAAUGGAGGAGUCUAUAACACUUCUGAUCUUUCAGACGAUUCGUGACGCAUCUGAGCUC